GCCCCUAUGGUGUAAUGGCAGCACUCAUGACUUCUAAUCUUGCAAUCCGAGUUCGAUCCUCGGUGGGGGCU